UACUCAGCAGAAUGUAAAAGGUGCCUCCAUAAAGAAGUGUAUCUGAGAGCGACUGCGUGUGAUUCCACAGCACAGUUGAUGAUGACACCACCAUCCCUCUUGGUGACAGAUGCACUGUUGCAUCCUCCCGACUCUCUGGCCCACUCUGGUUAUGAAUGUUGCUGGCAUACCAUAGAAAUACUGGGAGCAGUCCAGGGGGGCAAACUGUGUGGCCGCAACAAGCCAAACAUGCUUGGAGGCUGCAGCCACAGUGAAAUGGGCCAAGCACCUGCCCCAGGUGUCAACAGGCCUCCUUGGCCCAGAAUGCCAGGCUUCCUUCUGAAAGAGAGAAGAGAUGGAGAGCCAGAUAGAGAGCCAUCUCAUUAACUACUCCCCUGGGCUGCAACUAAACAGGGGGAUGGAGAGUGUGAAGACCAUGUCAACUCUGUGGAUGGCCCUUGUGAACUGCGGUUAAUUGAAAUCUGAUAUAUCUGAGUCCCUACUUGGAACCCGACCAGUCAAACAGCAGGCUGGGUCUCAUCCUGCCAAGUGAAGCUAGGGAAUAAAAAGAGAAAGAGCGCAAUCUUUCACUUUUUUUUUCUCCACAUCUUCCCCAUCUCCAGCCUUGCAAUCUACAGAUUUAUUGAUUUGUUUGUGAGCUGUGAACAUGGCCCAUCACUGCUCUAGGACGGUAAGAGCUGAUCACAGAGCACAGUUUGAUGCUUACAUGUAUUUUUUUUUCCUUUUUUAGUGUGCUGACCUUGGCUGAAGUAGAAUGCAGGUUUUCUAAUAUUCCCCACUCCUAGAGAGGCGAAUACCAGCUGGGGAUACAGGCAGCAAAGACACAUCCACACAAAGAGCUGUUUAACUGUCCAGAGGCCCUCUGGGUACUCCACCUUUCACUUUAUCCCUUUAAUAUUUCAUGUCCUGGCCCCAGCCGUGCUCUGGCCAAAUGCCUCUGCCUGGGUUACUGGAAUAUGGAUGAGAGUGCACACUUACCCAUUUACCUGGAUGUCAGUGGGAAGUGGUUCUAAACAAUACACCUUGCCUCCUCACAACUUCACCUCUGCUCACCUCACUGGGCCCAGAGCUAGCUUGUUAGAAAGAGGAGGAGGUAACGAAGGGGGUCAGAAAUAGACAGAAAAAUCCUACAAAGAGGAGUCUUGGGAUAACAAAUACGCAACAUCAAGUAGAGACGAUAGAGGAUGAUUGUGCUUCUGUUAGAAUUGACGGCUUUGUGUGAAAUAAACAUGCAAGCUGCACAUUUAGUCAUUGUGAAUAUAUAAAGGUUCUUGUCCUUGUGCAAUAAUAGCACACAGCACUGAUUGUAAACACUUGGGGUGUUUUUGUGAUGGAUUGAAAUUUGUUUAGUAUAUUUACUCUUACUGGUAUGUGCAUAUUGUAUGCAUUACAGAUUUGAAUGUUGUUUAAAUUCAUAGUGCACUUGCCAGCAGUUUGAGUUAAAUAUAUGUUAAUGUCAUUUUAUUUAGUAGAUGUAGUAACCGAAUGCGACCAGCAGGGGGAGUCUAGUGCUAGUGAGCUAUUUAAGAGCAAGGAAUCUCUUCCUUUCAAUGUAGCAGGUAUUGAAUUAAACACCUUUCAGGUAUGAGUUUACAUAUAAAACUUACCUUUACUUUUAUAAUUUGGUUCACUAAAUGCUAGAAAGCUUGUGAACACGUUUUGUUACCAGCUACAUUUUAGGGCUGUUGUAAACAAAUAUUUUAGCAAUCGAGUAAUCUAUUGAUUAUUCUUACAAUUAAUCGAAUAAAAAAAUAAAGUAAAACAUUGAUAUAUCUAACAUAACAGCAGUAUUUCUAUCGCAUAUCAACAUCAGUCCAAUUUUUCACAUUUGAGCUUCCCUAACAAUAACUUUUCUGUAGUUUAGAAAAUUAACUCGUAACAAUAGCAGCUCACUUUCCAAGUUAACCUAAUAAAAAUUAUACAAAAAUCUGAAAUUAUAUUCAAUUCAAUAA